rnacentral:rRNA from 1 species
UACGAAGGGUGCAAGCGUUAUUCGGAGUUAUUGGGCGUAAAGGGUGCGUAGGCGGCAUGUUAAGUCAAUUGUUAAAUACCUCAGCUUAACUGGGGAAAGGCGGUUGAUACUGGCGUGCUUGAGGAUGGAAGAGAGAAGUGGAAUUCUCGGAGUAGCGGUAAAAUGCGUAGAUCUCGAGAGGAACACCAAUGGCGAAGGCAGCUUCUUGGUCCAUUCCUGACGCUGAGGCACGAAAGCGUGGGGAGCAAACAGG